UUCUCAUCAAUGGACUCCUGACGUAUACGAAAGA
rnacentral:sRNA from 1 species